AGGAAACCUUUUUCGGAAGGUAUGCUUAAAGAGGGGCUUGCGUCACAUUAGUUAGUUGGCAGGGUAAAGGCCUACCAAGACUAUGAUGUGUAGCUGGACUGAGAGGUUGAACAGCCACAUUGGGACUGAGACACGGCCCAAACUCCUACGGGAGGCAGCAGUAGGGAAUUUUCGGCAAUGGAGGAAACUCUGACCGAGCAACGCCGCGUGAACGAUGAAGUAUUUCGGUAUGUAAAGUUCUUUUAUUGAAGAAGAAAAAAUAGUGGAAAAACUAUCUUGACGAUAUUCAAUGAAUAAGCCCCGGCAAACUAUGUGCCAGCAGCCGCGGUAAUACAUAGGGGGCGAGCGUUAUCCGGAAUUAUUGGGCGUAAAGGGUGCGUAGGCGGUUUAAUAAGUCUAUAGUUUAAUUUCAGUGCUUAACACUGUCCUGCUAUAGAAACUAUUAGACUAGAGUGAGAUAGAGGCAAGUGGAAUUCCAUGUGUAGCGGUAAAAUGCGUAAAUAUAUGGAGGAACACCAGAGGCGUAGGCGGCUUGCUGGGUCUUUACUGACGCUGAGGCACGAAAGCGUGGGGAGCAAACAGGAUUAGAUACCCUGGUAGUCCACGCCGUAAACGAUGAGUACUAAGUGUCGGGAUUACUCGGUACUGAAGUUAACACAUUAAGUACUCCGCCUGAGUAGUACGUACGCAAGUAUGAAACUUAAAGGAAUUGACGGGACUCCGCACAAGCGGUGGAUCAUGUUGUUUAAUUCGAAGAUACACGAAAAACCUUACCAGGUCUUGACAUACUCUGCAAAGCUAUAGCAAUAUAGUGGAGGUUAUCAGAGAUACAGGUGGUGCAUGGUUGUCGUCAGCUCGUGUCGUGAGAUGUUAGGUUAAGUCCUAAAACGAGCGCAACCCUUGUCAUUAGUUGCCAGCAUGUCAUGAUGGGCACUUUAAUGAGACUGCCAAUGAAAAAUUGGAGGAAGGUGAGGAUCACGUCAAAUCAUCAUGCCCCUUAUGAUCUGGGCUACAAACGUGAUACAAUGGCUGUUACAAAGAGUAGCUGAAACGCAAGUUUAUAGCCAAUCUCAUAAAAGCAGUCUCAGUUCGGAUUGAAGUCUGCAACUCGACUUCAUGAAGUUGGAAUCGCUAGUAAUCGCGAAUCAGCAUGUCGCGGAAAUUCCAUCUU
rnacentral:rRNA from 1 species